AUGCAAUGUCAAUAACAUUAAAGCUUCACCAUAUACUACUACUCUCCUCCUACGAUUAGAUUGACUUGGUUCGUUUGUGCAAAGGAAUUCCUCCUAGUUCAUUGCCUUUGUACCUGUUGAACAAUGGAGUAACAGAAAGAAGAUGAACGAUUGAUACAUGAGAAGAUUUUUGUAUAAGAGAAAAUUUACUUUUUAGAUUCAUU